rnacentral:rRNA from 1 species
AGCAGUAGCCGCGGGAAUACGGAGGGUGCAAGUGUUAAUCGGAAUUACUGGGCGUAAAGCGCACGCAGGUGGUUUGUUAAGUCAGAUGUGAAAUCCCCGAGCUUAACUUGGGAACUGCAUUUGAAACUGGCAAGCUAGAGUCUUGUAGAGGGGGGUAGAAUUCCAGGUGUAGCGGUGAAAUGCAUAGAGAUCUGGAGGAAUACCGGUGGCGAAGGCGGCCCCCUGGACAAAGACUGACGCUCAGGUGCGAAAGCGUGGGGAGCAAACAGGAUUAGAUACCCGGGUAGUCCCUGUCUCUUAUAC